UGCCUGAUUUCCUGAUUUGAUAUUCUGCA
rnacentral:piRNA from 3 species